CACGCCAGACGGAGGUUGUGCCCCGCUGCUUGGUGCCGUGGCUGCGCCCCCCCCCGGAAGGCGGGGGGCGGUGAGCGCUAGAGUCCAGUCAGUGCAGCCACAGCUUCGUUAGGCCCAAGGGGGGACGCUCAACCCCGCCACUGAACCCGGUGUCCAUCCCUCCCGCGCAGUGCUCUGUGCGGGCUCUGGGCCAGCUUCGCUCCACCCCCAGUUAUAGCGGGGCGCAGCCACCGACUCGCAUCAGACAGAAUCUUCCCGCGCCCCGAGUUGCCGUUGGAAGGCACCAGUACAACGGACAGAAUCUGGAUUUCCAAAUAGUUGCACCAGACUGCUACAGAAUUUGGCCCCAUUGGCACAAAAUUGAGAUCAAGCUUGCUGAAGAAUAGAAGAGGCAUCGUUUAAAGUGCUAUGAACAGGCUUAGUCAAAGAAAGCCCUUAAGAACAACAUAAGGAAGCUGCAAAAGAUGUUAUGAAAGCACAAGAGCUGCCAGACUAGUUAGUACUAACACAGCAUUGUCCAAAAAUUGUAUUGUGAUACAGUGUCCAGAAUGGGAAAACCCUUUUUUUUUUUGGAGGAAGGACUUAUAUUGUCCUGAAUUCCUGUGUUUUAAGUGAGACAUAAACAGCAUAAGAUUUCACUGAUGUGUGGCAUGUAUCUAGUUUGUGGUUUUCAUUGAUCCAUUUGCUGUUGACUUUAAAUAACACAUUUUGGUUGAAUGACAGGUUUAUAAACUGUAAGCCUGAUCCCACAAAGUUUGCUUAUGUACAUAGUCCCACUGUCAUAAAUGGAUGGAAGACCAGCCCAUGUGAUGUUUUCCAAGCAUCAUUACAGUUGUUCAAAAUUAUAAAGGGAAUGCUUAACAAUGAGUGAAAAGUAAAAGAGUC